CCUCUUCCUAGCCCUGGGUUACCCUGCCUGCACCUUUAUAAAUAGUCCAUUUAUUAAUAUUAACCCUUACCCCUCUCCAAAAUAGCCAUUUUGAGUGUGGGACACUGCCGGGACACUGAUUGAUACAGAUGCUCUGAUUGGAUGGGGUUAAGGCAGAAGACCCCUAUGGACUGGAUUUAAUGCCUACAACUCGUCCAAGGAGGAGAGUAGAAACACCUGGUACAGGGCUGUGGAUCAUUCUGGUGUAGCAGUGCAUCCUAAUUCAUUUAACUAAGCCUCUAUAUUGAUGAAUAUUUCAAUAUAAGGUAAGGUCACCUUCUUCUGUCUUUCUGUCAUCAGAUUUGUCUUCAGUUUCAGGGCCCUCAACAAAUCUAUGUAGUUCUCAGUGC
rnacentral:lncRNA from 1 species